CGGGGUGAGUAAUGUCUGGGAAACUGCCUGAUGGAGGGGGAUAACUGCUGGAAACGGUAGCUAAUACCGCAUAACGUCGCAAGACCAAAGAGGGGGACCUUCGGGCCUCUUGCCAUCGGAUGUGCCCAGAUGGGAUUAGCUAGUAGGUGGGGUAACGGCUCACCUAGGCGACGAUCCUAGCUGGUCUGAGAGGAUGCCAGCCACACUGGAACUGAGACACGGUCCAG
rnacentral:rRNA from 1 species